GGGUUGUGAGGUUAAGCGACUAAGCGUACACGGUGGAUGCCCCGGCAGUCAGAGGCGAUGAAGGACGUGCUAAUCUGCGAUAAGCGUCGGUAAGGUGAUAUGAACCGUUAUAACCGGCGAUUUCCGAAUGGGGAAACCCAGUGUGUUUCGACACACUAUCAUUAACUGAAUCCAUAGGUUAAUGAGGCGAACCGGGGGAACUGAAACAUCUAAGUACCCCGAGGAAAAGAAAUCAACCGAGAUUCCCCCAGUAGCGGCGAGCGAACGGGGAGGAGCCCAGAGCCUGAAUCAGUGUGUGUGUUAGUGGAAGCGUCUGGAAAGGCGCGCGAUACAGGGUGACAGCCCCGUACACAAAAAUGCACAUACUGUGAGCUCGAUGAGUAGGGCGGGACACGUGGUAUCCUGUCUGAAUAUGGGGGGACCAUCCUCCAAGGCUAAAUACUCCUGACUGACCGAUAGUGAACCAGUACCGUGAGGGAAAGGCGAAAAGAACCCCGGCGAGGGGAGUGAAAAAGAACCUGAAACCGUGUACGUACAAGCAGUGGGAGCCUCUUUUAUGGGGUGACUGCGUACCUUUUGUAUAAUGGGUCAGCGACUUAUAUUCUGUAGCAAGGUUAACCGAAUAGGGGAGCCGAAGGGAAACCGAGUCUUAACUGGGCGUUAAGUUGCAGGGUAUAGACCCGAAACCCGGUGAUCUAGCCAUGGGCAGGUUGAAGGUUGGGUAACACUAACUGGAGGACCGAACCGACUAAUGUUGAAAAAUUAGCGGAUGACUUGUGGCUGGGGGUGAAAGGCCAAUCAAACCGGGAGAUAGCUGGUUCUCCCCGAAAGCUAUUUAGGUAGCGCCUCGUGAAUUCAUCUCCGGGGGUAGAGCACUGUUUCGGCAAGGGGGUCAUCCCGACUUACCAACCCGAUGCAAACUGCGAAUACCGGAGAAUGUUAUCACGGGAGACACACGGCGGGUGCUAACGUCCGUCGUGAAGAGGGAAACAACCCAGACCGCCAGCUAAGGUCCCAAAGUCAUGGUUAAGUGGGAAACGAUGUGGGAAGGCCCAGACAGCCAGGAUGUUGGCUUAGAAGCAGCCAUCAUUUAAAGAAAGCGUAAUAGCUCACUGGUCGAGUCGGCCUGCGCGGAAGAUGUAACGGGGCUAAACCAUGCACCGAAGCUGCGGCAGCGACACUAUGUGUUGUUGGGUAGGGGAGCGUUCUGUAAGCCUGUGAAGGUGUGCUGUGAGGCAUGCUGGAGGUAUCAGAAGUGCGAAUGCUGACAUAAGUAACGAUAAAGCGGGUGAAAAGCCCGCUCGCCGGAAGACCAAGGGUUCCUGUCCAACGUUAAUCGGGGCAGGGUGAGUCGACCCCUAAGGCGAGGCCGAAAGGCGUAGUCGAUGGGAAACAGGUUAAUAUUCCUGUACUUGGUGUUACUGCGAAGGGGGACGGAGAAGGCUAUGUUGGCCGGGCGACGGUUGUCCCGGUUUAAGCGUGUAGGCUGGUUUUCCGUGCAAAUCCGGAAAAUCAAGGCUGAGGCGUGAUGACGAGGCACUACGGUGCUGAAGCAACAAAUGCCCUGCUUCCGGAAAGCCUCUAAGCAUCAGGUAACAUCAAAUCGUACCCCAAACCGACACAGGUGGUCAGGUAGAGAAUACCAAGGCGCUUGAGAGAACUCGGGUGAAGGAACUAGGCAAAAUGGUGCCGUAACUUCGGGAGAAGGCACGCUGAUAUGUAGGUGAAGCGACUUGCUCGUGGAGCUGAAAUCAGUCGAAGAUACCAGCUGGCUGCAACUGUUUAUUAAAAACACAGCACUGUGCAAACACGAAAGUGGACGUAUACGGUGUGACGCCUGCCCGGUGCCGGAAGGUUAAUUGAUGGGGUUAGCGGUAACGCGAAGCUCUUGAUCGAAGCCCCGGUAAACGGCUACCGUAACUAUAACGGUCCUAAGGUAGCGAAAUUCCUUGUCGGGUAAGUUCCGACCUGCACGAAUGGCGUAAUGAUGGCCAGGCUGUCUCCACCCGAGACUCAGUGAAAUUGAACUCGCUGUGAAGAUGCAGUGUACCCGCGGCAAGACGGAAAGACCCCGUGAACCUUUACUAUAGCUUGACACUGAACAUUGAGCCUUGAUGUGUAGGAUAGGUGGGAGGCUUUGAAGUGUGGACGCCAGUCUGCAUGGAGCCGACCUUGAAAUACCACCCUUUAAUGUUUGAUGUUCUAACGUUGGCCCCUGAUCGGGGUUGCGGACAGUGUCUGGUGGGUAGUUUGACUGGGGCGGUCUCCUCCUAAAGAGUAACGGAGGAGCACGAAGGUUGGCUAAUCCCCGGUCGGACAUCAGGAGGUUAGUGCAAUGGCAUAAGCCAGCUUGACUGCGAGCGUGACGGCGCGAGCAGGUGCGAAAGCAGGUCAUAGUGAUCCGGUGGUUCUGAAUGGAAGGGCCAUCGCUCAACGGAUAAAAGGUACUCCGGGGAUAACAGGCUGAUACCGCCCAAGAGUUCAUAUCGACGGCGGUGUUUGGCACCUCGAUGUCGGCUCAUCACAUCCUGGGGCUGAAGUAGGUCCCAAGGGUAUGGCUGUUCGCCAUUUAAAGUGGUACGCGAGCUGGGUUUAGAACGUCGUGAGACAGUUCGGUCCCUAUCUGCCGUGGGCGCUGGAGAACUGAGGGGGGCUGCUCCUAGUACGAGAGGACCGGAGUGGACGCAUCACUGGUGUUCGGGUUGUCAUGCCAAUGGCACUGCCCGGUAGCUAAAUGCGGAAGAGAUAAGUGCUGAAAGCAUCUAAGCACGAAACUUGCCCCGAGAUGAGUUCUCCCUGAGACUUUAAGUCUCCUGAAGGAACGUUGAAGACGACGACGUUGAUAGGCCGGGUGUGUAAGCGCAGCGAUGCGUUGAGCUAACCGGUACUAAUGAACCGUGAGGCUUAACCUUACAACGCCGAAGGUGUUU
rnacentral:rRNA from 1 species